CACCAACCUGCAGAUUGAUUUAUCUAAAAUGCAAAUCUGAGCAUAUCAUUCCCCUACUUAAAAUCUUGCAACAGUUCCGUGGAUGAAGUCCCAGCUCCCUGGGCUCCUGCCACGCCCCAGCCUCGUCUCCAGCCACACUGAGCCGGCUGUGCCACGUCGCUGCUGCCCACAUGGCUCCUCUGCCCAGCAUGCCUCGUCCCAGCGCUCUACCUGGCCAACCUCCCUACCUGUCUCAAUUCAUGUCAAACACCACCUCCUCUGGACAUCUUCCUUGCCAUUCGGCCCCUGCCCACCUCCCCACCCCUGACACCCCGAUUUGGGUUUACGGUCACACUUAUCCUGCUCUAGGGUGCUCUGUGUCUGUCCUCACUGCGCUGUGAGCUCCUUUAAGGGCACAGACUAUGACUUACUGAUCUCGUUUCCCCGGCAUGUCAUACAAUGCCAAGAACAUGGAAGCACCUCCGUCACGGCUACCGAACAUCUGGAGCUUUUAGGACCCAGGACGGUGGGCAAAUGACACGUGCUCUGCUGUGGCCGUGGCUCUAGGGCUGGGAACCUCCCCUGGUGCUUUAGAAAUGGAUGAUCACAGGGGAGCAGUCAUCCCUUUCCAUUUCUCAGGUACCUAAGGAACACUGAACAUUUCUAGGCAGCUACACUGAUAGACAUUUUUUGCAAUUCUAGCAUUAUACAGACCAGCAGCAAAAUGUGACUCGCGGCCAGCCCUGGGUUGUAGUGAAAAACAUUCAGCUGAAUUCGUCAGUGCUCUUCCGCAAAGGACAGGACCUGAUCCCAAUGUUUCUACCUCAGGACUCUGCCUUUAAGUUGACACCUGGGAGGUGGUGCUGAGACAGAAGAAGGAUGUUUCUCAGGCUGGAGAUGUGAAGGCCAAAAGGGAAGCGUGCAUCCAAAGACAGCUAUAAGUGUUGGUACCUGAUGUGAGUGGAGAAUAAGC